rnacentral:rRNA from 1 species
AUGGAUCAGGAGCUGAUCGAGCACCUUGAGGCCAAAGUGAGUGCUUACAGCGCGAGAUCUCACCCUCUCAUCGAUUUUUUCAUACCGACCAUCGACAGCGAGCACGACAUAUGCUACACCCAUCCUGAGAAACUUCCAGGGCGUUCAAAAGGGGCACGUGGACGCGUCGCAAGAUACUUGCCGGUGAUGGUCAACGGCCGGCAGACGGGCAGCAAAAAGCUUCUGGUGUUGCACACCAACAAGAACUUCGACCAGCAGAGGACCAACUGGGUGAUGCACCAGUACUACCUCGGGGACCUGGAGCAAGAGAAGGAGCAGGAGCUGGUCCUCUGCAAGAUAUUUUCGAGCAAGUUUCAACUGGGCUGUAGACUGCCCAGGCUUGGUUUUGUCUUUAACAGGCCCAGCCCAUGA